rnacentral:rRNA from 1 species
UACGAAGGGGGCUAGCGUUGUUCGGAAUUACUGGGCGUAAAGCGCACGUAGGCGGACAUUUAAGUCAGGGGUGAAAUCCCAGAGCUCAACUCUGGAACUGCCUUUGAUACUGGGUGUCUCGAGUAUGGAAGAGGUGAGUGGAAUUCCGAGUGUAGAGGUGAAAUUCGUAGAUAUUCGGAGGAACACCAGUGGCGAAGGCGGCUCACUGGUCCAUUACUGACGCUGAGUGAGCGAAAGCCAGGGGAGCAAACGGG